rnacentral:rRNA from 1 species
UACGUAGGGGGCAAGCGUUGUCCGGAAUCAUUGGGCGUAAAGAGCGUGUAGGCGGCCAGAUAAGUCCGCUGUGAAAUCUCGAGGCUCAACUUCGAGCUGUCGGUGGAAACUGUCUGGCUAGAGUCCGGAAGAGGAGAAUGGAAUUCCUGGUGUAGCGGUGAAAUGCGCGGAUAUCAGGAAGAACACCCGUGGCGAAGGCGGUUCUCUGGGACGGUACUGACGCUGAGACGCGAAAGCGUGGGGAGCGAACAGG